GUCGAGAAUUUUUCACAAUGGGCGAAAGCCUGAUGGAGCGACGCCGCGUGGGGGAUGAAUGGCUUCGGCCCGUAAACCCCUGUCAUUUGCGAGCAAAGCUGCCGGUCGAACAGACUGGCAGUCUGAUAGUAGCGAAAGAGGAAGGGACGGCUAACUCUGUGCCAGCAGCCGCGGUAAUACAGAGGUCCCGAGCGUUGUUCGGAUUUACUGGGCGUAAAGGGUGCGUAGGUGGCAGGGUAAGUUCGGUGUGAAAGCUUCGAGCUCAACUCGGAAAUGGCAUUGAAUACUAUCCUGCUUGAGGAUCGGAGGGGAGACUGGAAUUCUCGGUGUAGCAGUGAAAUGCGUAGAUAUCGAGAGGAACACCAGUGGCGAAGGCGGGUCUCUGGACGAUUCCUGACACUGAGGCACGAAAGCUAGGGGAGCAAACAGGAUUAGAAACCCUUGUAGUCC
rnacentral:rRNA from 1 species